rnacentral:rRNA from 1 species
CGUAGGUGGCGGGCGUUGUCCGGAAUUAUUGGGCGUAAAGAGCGUGUAGGUGGGAUAGUCAGUCUCAUUUAAAAGAUCGGGGCUCAACCCCGUUAUGGGUGAGAAACAGCUAUUCUUGAGUGCAGGAGAGGAAAGCGGAAUUCCCAGUGUAGCGGUGAAAUGCGUAGAUAUUGGGAGGAACACCAGUGGCGAAGGCGGCUUUCUGGACUAUGUCUGACACCGAGGCGCGAAAGCUAGGGGAGCGAACGGGAUUAGAUACCCCGGUAGUCCUAGCCGUAAACGAUGGGUACUAGGUGUAGGGGGUAUCGACCCCUUCUGUGCCGGAGUUAACGCAAUAAGUACCCCGCCUGGGGAGUACGGCCGCAAGGUUG